CACAUCUGUCUCCCACUACUUUUUUUAUAGCCAUCUGGCCUUGCCCCGUCACAAGUGAUAGGGAACAAGCUAAUUUUGGAGGAGGAAUCUGUGAAAUGACACAAAACCAAGACUUCUUGUUGCUGUAAGGGUCUUGGAGGCCUAUUAUUAAAACACCCUGCAGUCCUAAGGGAAGAAAAGCAAGCUGGUGAUGCAGAUGGGAACAUUGUGAAUGGAAUAAGCAUGCACUAGAUGCAUAAUCCUGCAAGCUGUUGAGCAACCUUGACUCUCUUUGAAUUCAGAACAUGUUGAAAACCAUCAGGAAUGCUUUUACAUAACUACUGUGACUUUCCAAAAAGGACCAAUGGGCAUCAAGUCAAGUGAGUCAGCCUUCUGCAUUCAAGUGCCUAGCAACAUUUUCAGAGGCUAUUUUGGAACACUUUGUUCAUCUCAAGAAAAGCCUCCCCAUCCACAGAAAGUCAGAAAAGAUUCCUCUGUAGUAGCUGAAUGAUUCACAUUGUUAUUGACUGUACUCAUGCCAAUGAUAGCUACUGGAGAUAAUGAAACAAUCUAUAGAAAUAAAUUGCAUUCAAUGAGAAUGGAGGGUGCACAAUAUCUCCCAGGAGAUGUGCAGCAACUUGCAGAUGGAUUUGAGUUUGCUCUUCACCUUGAGGAAGGACUUGAGGCUUGAACAAUUAUUCCACUCAUUGGUUUUCUUCUAGAAAUGCAUUCGUACUCAUUGAUGUGACAUAUUGCUUUGUUUUCAACCUCAGCAUUAGAGUUUCUUCUUAACAUUAAUUUUACUUAAUGACUGGAACCUCUAUAUUUUCUCCUUCCAAACACUGGAUCUGUUCCUCGUUGAACUCAUUUGGUACUAUUUGCUUCCAUUGCUGAGUUUGGCAGCUUGUUUCUUAUUCCAGCUAUUUGUCCUGCCAAGAAACUCUACCUGAAUCAUAUUCAGUGCCAUCAGCUAAAAUAUGCUGGAUCCCUAUGGUGUAGUUGGAAGAGUUUUGUAGGACUUCCUAGGGAAUUAUACAAAAAGGGGACACAUGCACAGGAAUGAGCUUAAGAUUUUGGAAGGUAACAUAUUCUGCAGCUGCAGAUGCUCAUAAAUCUGUUUUUUCCCCUUAAGGAAAACAUUUCAACAACACCUCCCUGUAUAAAAAUUGAUUGCUGUUAUUUUUGCUACUGCUUUAUUCUGAAAAGGAUUGAUUCCAAGUUGAUGGGCAGAAUGCCUUCCAGUCAACUAAAGAGAUGCAAUUGGAAAAGAUGCUUGGCUUUCAAAAAUGGGUAGUUGAAUGAGCCCAUAAUGUAUGUUUAAAUAUGCUUUUGUAUAGGUUGUUGUUUUUUUCCACCCUAAAUGUCUCUGUUGAGUCUAUUAAGAUGGCCUGAUGGCCAUCAACUUAGAAGGUCUGGUAUAGCAAGAUUCUGCAGCUAAGGUCUAUGGCAUACUUUGAAAGUGAUGACUGUGCAGCAAUUCUGAGGAGCCCUCACUGCAAAUUGCAGGUGAAAUUCACCGUUAGGCAGAGGGCCCAAUUUUGAAGGUUCAAGUGAAAUUUAAGUGCUGCACAGGAGUGAAUUUUGUCCUGUGAGUUGAGAGAUUUUUCAGCAUACAACACUAGAUACAAUCUUCCCUACCUCCUCACCACCCCAUUUGUAUCAGAACAUCUUGUUUUGUAAAUUUUUCAGUAUAUUAGAUGGUGUCACUCUGCUACUUCCACAGGUGCCUAAAUCCUGACCUUAAUAGUGCUAUUUUAUUUAUUAAAGCAAAAAGGAGCCUGCAGAUUGCUGGCACCAACAUAUUGUUCAGUUCUUCCCUGCUACAAAUGUGAUACAAAUUGAGGCCCCUGUAGUAGAAAGAGAGAGCCUGAAACAUGGGGCCUAGUGCAAGGCCUCAGGCCUGAAUUAAAGUUCGCAAAAGUCAGGCACUGCUGCUGUCAAAGUUAGCAAAGUUCAGGCUGUGUGCAAAACUCAGGCCCUUUUACAAAGCAAAUGCCUGCUUACAAGUUCAUUGUCCAGUACAUGAACUUGGUAAGAACAUGACUGGCACUGCAAAAACAGACACUAAUAGCUACUGGACACUAUGUACUCACAUAAACCCUUGAUGCAAAGUUAUAGUGUAAAGAUACUCCCUGAAAAUGAUACAGAGACACACUGACCCCUCACUCCAAAGAUAAGGUUAGGAUGACAGGGUGAUGAUUGAACCAACAGGUACAAGGUAAAGGGUAGUAACUAACCACAUUAGAGGGGCAACACACAACUUAUAUCAGUGUAUAAAAGAGGAGUGUAACAGGGUGCUGGCCAGGAGACCUGGCUAGGCCCCUGUUAGCCCCAGCUCCCAUUAAGGGGAAUUAAUUGGAGCUGGCAGGGUGUAGCUCAUUGCUGGGCUAAAGAAAAAACACCUAUGGGUUUUAUGGGCCAGGGGGCUGUAUAAAGCUUGCAGACAGUGGGGGGAACAAGAAAGGGAGGAGCCUUAGGCUGGAGUUCCCAGCUAGCUACAGAAGCUAGCUGUCCUCCAAGGGGCUACCUGGGCUGAAUUGAACUGUAUAUAAAAGGUGGUGGGAACACUGAAAAUAAAAGGGCACUGGUGUUUGCCCAGAGAGGUCUCCUGUUGGUUUUUGAGAGGAGCGGUGAAGCGCACCGCUACAAGGGGUCUCAGGAGGAGUUUCUUUGGCAUGGGAGGAGCAGAAAGUCCUGCUACUCACUGAGCUGGUCCAU